rnacentral:rRNA from 1 species
GUGAGGAAUAUUGCCCAAUGGACGCAAGUCUGAGGCAGCAACGCCGCGUGGGCGACGAAGGCCUUCGGGUUGUAAAGCCCUUUUCCGGGGGACGAGACAGGACGGUACCCCGGGAAUAAGUCACGGCUAACUACGUGCCAGCAGCCGCGGUAAUACGUAGGUGGCCAGCGUUAUCCGGAUUUAUUGGGCGUAAAGCGCGUGCAGGCGGUUUCGUAAGUCGGACGUGAAAGCUCCUGGCUUAACUGGGAGAGGUCGUUCGAUACUGCGGGGCUUGAGGUCGGGAGAGGGACGUGGAAUUCCCGGUGUAGUGGUGGAAUGCGUAGAUAUCGGGAGGAACACCAGUGGCGAAGGCGACGUCCUGGCCCGCACCUGACGCUAAAGCGCGAAAGCGUGGGUAGCGAACGGGAUUAGAUACCCCAGUAGUCC